CCUACGGGGGGCAGCAGUGGGGAAUAUUGGACAAUGGGGGCAACCCUGAUCCAGCCAUGCCGCGUGUGUGAAGAAGGCCCUCGGGUUGUAAAGCACUUUCAGUGAGGAAGAACGCCUGGUGGUUAAUACCCAUCAGGAAAGACAUCACUCACAGAAGAAGCACCGGCUAACUCCGUGCCAGCAGCCGCGGUAAUACGGAGGGUGCGAGCGUUAAUCGGAAUUACUGGGCGUAAAGCGCGCGUAGGUGGCUUGAUAAGCCGGUUGUGAAAGCCCCGGGCUCAACCUGGGAACGGCAUCCGGAACUGUCAAGCUAGAGUGCAGGAGAGGAAGGUAGAAUUCCCGGUGUAGCGGUGAAAUGCGAAGAGAUCGGGAGGAAUACCAGUGGCGAAGGCGGCCUUCUGGACUGACACUGACACUGAGGUGCGAAAGCGUGGGUAGCAAACAGGAUUAGAUACCCUUGUAGUC
rnacentral:rRNA from 1 species